AGCGAACGCUGGCGGCAGGCUUAACACAUGCAAGUCGAGCGCCCCGCAAGGGGAGCGGCAGACGGGAGAGUAACACGUGGGAACAUACCUUUUGGUUCGGAACAACUGAGGGAAACUUCAGCUAAUACCGGAUAAGCCCUUACGGGGAAAGAUUUAUCGCCGAAAGAUUGGCCCGCGUCUGAUUAGCUAGUUGGUGAGGUAACGGCUCACCAAGGCGACGAUCAGUAGCUGGUCUGAGAGGAUGAUCAGCCUCACUGGGACUGAGACACGGCCCAGACUCCUACGGGAGGCAGCAGUGGGGAAUAUUGGACAAUGGGGGCAACCCUGAUCCAGCCAUGCCGCGUGAGUGAUGAAGGCCUUAGGGUUGUAAAGCCCUUUUGCCCGGGAAGAUAAUGACGGUACCGGGAGAAUAAGCCCCGGCUAACUUCGUG
rnacentral:rRNA from 1 species